AGAACGAACGUUGGCGGCGUGGAUUAGGCAUGCAAGUCGAACGAAUCCCAAGGGGCUUGCUCUUUGGGGGAAGUGGCGAAAGGGGCAGUAAUGUAUGGGUAACCUACCUCGGGGACCGGGAUAGCCUUCCUAACGGAUGGGUAAUACCGGGCGAUGUGGUUGAGAGGCAUCUCUUGACUAUGAGAUGAAUUUCGCCUCGGGAGGGGCUCAUAUCGUAUUAGCUAGUUGGUGGGGUAACGGCCUACCAAGGCGAAGAUGCGUAGCGGGUGUGAGAGCACGACCCGCGCCACUGGCACUGAGACACUGGCCAGACUCCUACGGGAGGCUGCAGUCGAGGAUCUUCGGCAAUGGGCGCAAGCCUGACCGAGCGACGCCGCGUGAGCGAUGAAGGCCUUCGGGUUGUAAGCUCUUUAGUGGGGAGAAAGCGCAAGCUUGAUCUAUCCCAAGAAUAAGCACGGGCUAAGUUCGUGCCAGCAGCCGCGGU
rnacentral:rRNA from 1 species